GUUCACGAGUGGCAGCUGUCGGUACCUGGCCGGCUGCCCGGCAACCCCGUCUCCAUCGACUGUGGGUGCCCCAGGGGAAGAACCGGUUCGCGGUGACCACCGGCGGACAAGUCGAUGGA
rnacentral:ncRNA from 2 species